GCAGUCGAGCGGAACGAUCCUAGCUUGCUAGGAGGCGUCGAGCGGCGGACGGGUGAGUAAUGCAUGGGAAUCUGCCCGAUAGUGGGGGACAACCUGGGGAAACUCAGGCUAAUACCGCAUACGUCCUACGGGAGAAAGCAGGGGAUCUUCGGACCUUGCGCUAUCGGAUGAGCCCAUGUCGGAUUAGCUUGUUGGUGAGGUAAAGGCUCACCAAGGCGACGAUCCGUAGCUGGUCUGAGAGGAUGAUCAGCCACA
rnacentral:rRNA from 1 species